AGUGGCGAACGGGUGAGUAAUGCAUCGGAACGUGCCCAGUCGUGGGGGAUAACGCAGCGAAAGCUGCGCUAAUACCGCAUACGAUCUAUGGAUGAAAGCGGGGGACCGUAAGGCCUCGCGCGAUUGGAGCGGCCGAUGUCAGAUUAGGUAGUUGGUGGGGUAAAGGCUCACCAAGCCGACGAUCUGUAGCUGGUCUGAGAGGACGACCAGCCACACUGGGACUGAGACACGGCCCAGACUCCUACGGGAGGCAGCAGUGGGGAAUUUUGGACAAUGGGGGCAACCCUGAUCCAGCAAUGCCGCGUGCAGGAAGAAGGCCUUCGGGUUGUAAACUGCUUUUGUACGGAACGAAAAGGCUCUGGUUAAUACCCGGAGCUAAUGACGGUACCGUAAGAAUAAGCACCGGCUAACUACGUGCCAGCAGCCGCGGUAAUACGUAGGGUGCAAGCGUUAAUCGGAAUUACUGGGCGUAAAGCGUGCGCAGGCGGUGCUGUAAGACAGGCGUGAAAUCCCCGGGCUUAACCUGGGAAUGGCGCUUGUGACUGCAGCGCUGGAGUGCGGCAGAGGGGGAUGGAAUUCCGCGUGUAGCAGUGAAAUGCGUAGAUAUGCGGAGGAACACCGAUGGCGAAGGCAAUCCCCUGGGCCUGCACUGACGCUCAUGCACGAAAGCGUGGGGAGCACACAGGAUUAGAUACCCUGG
rnacentral:rRNA from 1 species